UUUUUUUUUAUCAAAACAAAUCCCAGCAUGUUUACUUGCAUUUAUAGACCGUCAAUUAUUGGAGUGCGAUCGACGAACAGAGGAUUUGAAAGGCAGUCUUUUCGCACUUGAACCAGUUGUGUAUUGCAAAUCGGAUACACACCAUGGAUGAUUGGAUGGUUUACAGAGGAAGGCCAUGGGAAACGGUGAAGCACAAAACACAUCAACUUUUCUAUUCCGGUCGUUCAGGGGAGAAUCAAUCUUCACUGCGCAGAUGGUAUCAGAACGAAGACAAUUUUUCUGCCAUACUUGGCUUUCUCUCUAGCUAAUUGAAAUUUACAGACACAUCCCAUGAAUCAAAGCACGAGGAAGAGCUUAUCAAUUCAAAGUCCUACCAGUGAUUAUAUACUUGCGUGUGAAUUAAGCGUUUCAAGAAUAAAGUUCCUUUACACGGGGCUCCACAACUAGCUAGCAGAAUCCAAUGAAGAAGACCCAUUCGAAGCGAUAAGGAUCAGGUUUUUUGUGCAUGAUCACUGCCAAACUGAGUUAGCGUCACUGCCAAACUGAGUUAGCGUUACUGCAACUUGAAUCUCCGCAUCAAGUGAAGAUAUUUCUUGCUCAAGUGAUCAUAUCUUCUAGCAAGCGAGGAAUUGCCACGGUUCUUCUUGCAAAUUCCCAGUGCUCGCAAGACAAGCUAUCCUUCUACAAUUCUACUACAAAGCAUUGUAUCUUGUCUAUUCCAACUGUAUCCUUAAUCUAUUAGGUUAUUCAUGAGAGUUUUCGGACCCAGAAAUAUAUAUUACAAUUGUUUAUAGAUAUAUUUAAAAAAAUUACAGAACUCCAGGAAUCAAUAUAAACUUUGAGCG